AUAUUGUCUGUGGUGUGGUAUGUACGUAGGAAGAGGUGUGUUGUGGUGAUUUUAGGUCAAUAAUUUAUUGAAAUGGGUCUUUGUUUCUGUUAAUAAAUAUUAGAAUUAGAAACCUAUAAAUUUAUUUGUUAAUUUGUGAUUAAUAUGGAUCUAUUGUGUAUUGAAAACUAUUACGUUUGGCUGGUGUAAUGACAUUAAAGAAAAUCGGGAAAAUGUCAACAAAAUCCCAAAUAUCCACAGAAUUAAGUGAUAGCAUUAGUAAUGUUUUGGGUAAAAAUGUUAAGAUUCUUUUCAAAUCCCUUAUUCGUAUGGAAUCAAGAGGUGAUAAAGUUGACAACAGGGUUUUGGUUGUGACAUCCUAUAGAAUCUUUAUCACUACAACAAAAGUUCCAACUAGGGUCGACAAUGGAUUUCACUUGAUGGAAAUUGAAGCGCUGGAAAGCAAAAAGGCUAAUCACCUGUCAAUAACGCUCAUUCACGAGCAUAAACCGGUCUCCAUUCUUAUUGGCGAGGAGGGUACAUCAGAGGGAGUCCUAAAUGUGAUCCACGCGUUGAUCGCGGCGUACGAUGACUUGUUCCCCAACGUAGCCAUGGAAGACAUCAUUUCCAAGGUGAAUCUACCAUUUCCCCUGCAACAUGUAAGUGGUACGAGGAAACAUUCAACUUGCGGUGACUUUUCUAAUCAGUAUGCAGCCAUGUGCGACCUUUGUCAAACGCCCUUCAGGGCGGAGGUUGCGUGGGACAUCGACACAAUUUAUUUAGCGCAUGACAUCAGAAUGCUACAUUUGAAGGAUUUCGACCAUUUAGAUCAGAGGGACCUGAUCCCCCUGCUAAUCGCGCUGCAGCACAACACGUGGUUCACGGGCGUGUGCGGGGACGGCGUCCGCGCGGGCGGCGAGGCGUGGGAGGCGCUGUGCCGCGUGGUGCGCUGCGCCGCGCCGCCGCCGCAGAAGCUGGCGUGGCGCGCCGCUGCUCUGCGCCACGACCACGCCGCACGGCUGGGGCACGCCCUUCUGAGGGCGCGCACGCCGCCUUCUAUGCAUACCAUCGACUUCUCUCAGAAUCAUAUUGAGGACAAAGGUGCUAUUAGUAUUCUGAGUGGGUUGGCGAACAACCUAGACGGGUUGCGGUCGAUCUCUCUGUCGCAAUGCGGGUUGACGGGCAAGACCGUGUCGCACCUCGCCGCGAUGCUUAACGACAACCAGUGCCAUCUCUCCACGCUCUCGCAUUUAGAUCUUUCACACAAUAACCUCAAGGAUGACGUACAUAAUUUGUAUAAUUUCCUUGCCCAACCCAACGUGUUGACGCAUUUAAAUUUAACCAAUACAGAGACUACGUUAGAAAAUAUGUGGGGAGCGUUGCUCCGCGGGUGUGCAGCGAGACUGUCAGACUUGCUCGUGGGGCGGAACCCCUGGUCUUCCGCGCGAAGACCCAAGGAUCCGCCGCCAUCCUUCAGACAGUUCUUCACGGCUUGUCUUGCGCUUACCAACCUGGAUUUCUCGUACUGCAAAAUGCCGCCCGAUGCUCUCAAGAGCCUUCUUCUCGGGUUAGCGUGCAACGAGAGCGCAACAGGCGUGCAGCUCAACUUAGCCGGCGUGCUGUCGUCGGCGCAGGCCGCGCACGUGCUCGAGUCCUGCAUCCACGGAGUACGCUGCUUGCAGUCGCUCGACCUCUCCGAUAAUAGUAUGGAAUUCGAACUAUCCGGCAUAGUACGAGCAAUAGGGAAAAAUCACUCCAUCACGCAUUUAUCGUUAAGCCGACUGAGUGGUAAAAGGUCUUAUGCGCCGCCUCUUAUACAGGCAUUGGUUCACGUUCUUCAAGAGCCGGACACGACUUUGACUUCAUUAGAUCUCAGCGAUUGUAAACUUAAGGGUGACUUGUACGGGCUGCUAAACGCGCUGGGCGGCGCGCGGCGCCUGCGCACGCUGGACGUGGGCGGCAACCUGGCGGGCGACGCGGCCGCGCGUCUGCUCGCCAAGGCUCUGCAGUGCAACUGCACGCUGCACACGCUCUACAUCGACCGCAACGCGUUUAGCUUACAGGGUCUGACGGACAUAGCGACGGCGCUCCGCCGGUCUGUAAGCGUGCGGCGCGUGGAGUUCCCGGGCUGCGACGCGGCAGCCGGCGGCCGGGGCGCUAGUGAGCGAGUCGCUACACUGUGGAGAGAGCUGCAUGAGCGGCUAGCAAGCAACAGCGCGCCGGCGCAGUGCCACCGGCUGCGGGCGCUGGCGCUGGAGCGCGCCUGGGCGGGGGGCGAGGCGGCGGCGGCGCUGGCGGCGCAGGCGGCCGCCGCGCUGCCGCCGCCGCCGCUGCCCGCUGCGCUGGAACGCGCCGCCAGCCAGGCGCACCACAUGCUGCACCAGUACCUGCAGCGGUGCAGUGAAGUGUUCGCGGCGAUGGGGGGAACUACCUCGGCGAGUGAACUGGUGACGCUGCAGGCGGUGCGCGACGCCAUGGCUCCCUGCGCCAACACGCUUCAAGACUUGCUCAAUGAGGCGGUAGAAAGCCUGGCCUUGACGGCGUGCGAGAGUGUGGACAACGCAGAUAGUGAACCUAUAACCAGCAAUGACACCGAUAUUCCGGACUUGCUCACACCGAUAUCGCAUUCUGGGGCGACUCCGCUGGGGUGUCGGCGGCGCGAGCGCGGCUGUCGUCGUGUGCGGCCCAAGUCAGUGGCGGAGCAACAAUGCAGCAGCAACGAGAUGUUGUCCCUGCCGCCGCUACACGCCGAGGCCGCUGACGGGCUGGCAGACCUGCCCGCGCAUACGCUGCGACACCUUGUUAAAGGUCGACCAAGACGGGCUAAAACCAGGGCGCCGACCCGACCAAUAACAGAUCAAUCUCAAGAUAUCGACGAAGGUCUGGAGGAGUUCUGGCGCACGUGCCGCACGCCGCCCGGCAGCGAGGAGGCGUCGCUGUCGGCGCGCACGCCGCUGACGUCACGCUCGCUGCACUCGCUGUCCUCGCUAGCCUCGCCCGCCUCGCCCGCCGACCACCGGCACUCGCCCACGCUGCAGCGCGACGACACCAUGUACAGCGUGACAUCUGGCGAAAGUACACCUGUUUUAUUAGAAUGCGAAGUUACAGGGUCAUCAGAGGUGUCCCGUUGCAAGUCUUCCGACAACGUAGGCACCAAGUUGCCGACCACGCCGCCGCCGUCGCGGUCUUCUGAUAACGUCAACACUAUGGAAGGCGUGGAGGCGUGCGUCGGAGGCAGCAUCGUCGGCAUCACGCCGGGGGCAGCACUAACCAGUAACCUUUCAGACGCUAUUCUAUACUGAAUGUAGUGUCAAUGUGCCCCUGCCCUUUGUAGGCUCAAUGUUACGAGAUCAUCCUUUAUCUCCAGAGGGCACUGAAGCCUAAGCCAAGCACAGGUGCAGUCCGUCGGUAUCACGUGAUAACUUUGAGCAGGGUUCCAUGUCCAGUACGAUAACAAGCGGAUUUUAUCCUCGGAUGCUCACAAUUGUGCCAGUUAGGAAUUUAACGUCUUAGACAGUAGUCAUUGAUUAGUCAUUCUAAUCUUAUAGCGUACGAAGCAAUCGCCAUUUUAGUUACUUUACGGAAUGGUAAAGCUUUCGCUGUAGGUUGGGUAAUUAGUGGAAGGGAAAUGGAAUAACAGUUCAAAUUAUGCAUUUUGUGAGACUUUCCUGAUAUAGAUAGAACAAUUGAUGCAGAUAAGUGAGAGAGAAAUAGUUCAAAAUGUAGAAAACAUUAUUUAUAAUAAUAAUAAUGAAAUUAAAGAUUGCAUUUAAAGUUCCUAUUUCCUAUAACGUCGACAUUACACGAACCCUCUCUACUAAGUUGCCAACCUACAAAGAAGAAACGACAAUUGCACGAUCAUAAUAAUUCCAAGUAAUUUAAAAUAGGGUUAUUUAUUAAGGACAUCUAUGAAAUCUAAUAAUCGUUUUAUUUACUGUGAUUCAGUUAGUAUUAUAUAAUUUAGUUUAUAAAGUCAUUCAUUACUAAUAUAUUUUAACCAUGCAUAUUUUGUCAUUUUAAUUUUAUUAUCGUUUUUAGGGCUCAGUCUUCAAAUAAUUAGACAUGGAAAUGUACUAAGCAUAACAAAUAUGCUUUACAGUAAUUCAGUAGUUGAUCUUUACACUUCUUAAAAAGUCCGAAAAUAUCGAAAAUUAUGCCUAAUAAAUAAUAGGCCUGUAAGUUUUCGACGGGACGUAGAUUAUUGAUUAUGCCCUAAUAAUUACGAAUUUGUAGAAACACAAGCUGGGAAUUGGUCUUGCCUAGUCAUGUUAUAAAGGCCUAUACGCAUUCACGCACAAAUUUUAUUUAAUUCUUAUAAUGUACCUAUUGUUUAUUUAUAAUAUGUAUUCCAUGAUGAAAUAAAUUUCCAAAACACAUAUAUAUCUUCCAAUUUAUACAUUCCUUUAUGAUUGUAAAGUAGAAAUCAAAUAUUUUGAGAAUUAUGAACAAGUGUGAUUUUAAAAUGAAGUUCAAACGUGACGUGAAUUUUAGAUUAGUAAUUUCAGUGAUGUAAGGUUCAAUUUUAUGAUAAUUCAGUAAAUGUAGAAACUCGCCCCAUAAGUUAAGUGUUCAUUAGACUAAAUAUUUGUAAAAUCAAUUACGGUACGUUCAUUUUAUCUUCUGAAUACCAAGGCUGUCUUUUAUUGGAGUUUCUUGUAAAAUUUUACUGAUCUAAAAGUAGUUGUAUAGUAUAUCGCUAAAUUAUUUCAUAGUAUUUUUAUAUUCAUUCCAAUUUAGUUGGUUUUAUCUAGCUCUUUGGUACCAGACUGAUUUUACGGUACUUUUAUUUUAUGGUGCAAUUUAUGUCUAGAGCGUUGUGAUAAUCUGUUUAAAAUUACAUAACAAUAUACAGCGAUA
rnacentral:misc_RNA from 1 species